AGUGGCAGACGGGUGAGUAACACGUGGGAACGUACCCUUUGGUUCGGGACAACUCUGGGAAACUGGAGCUAAUACCGGAUACGCCCUUUUGGGGAAAGGUUUACUGCCGAAGGAUCGGCCCGCGUCUGAUUAGCUAGUUGGUGGGGUAACGGCCUACCAAGGCGACGAUCAGUAGCUGGUCUGAGAGGAUGAUCAGCCACACUGGGACUGAGACACGGCCCAGACUCCUACGGGAGGCAGCAGUGGGGAAUAUUGGACAAUGGGCGCAAGCCUGAUCCAGCCAUGCCGCGUGAGUGAUGAAGGCCUUAGGGUUGUAAAGCUCUUUUAUCCGGGACGAUAAUGACGGUACCGGAGGAAUAAGCCCCGGCUAACUUCGUGCCAGCAGCCGCGGUAAUACGAAGGGGGCUAGCGUUGCUCGGAAUCACUGGGCGUAAAGGGCGCGUAGGCGGCGUUUUAAGUCGGGGGUGAAAGCCUGUGGCUCAACCACAGAAUGGCCUUCGAUACUGGGACGCUUGAGUCUGGUAGAGGUUGGUGGAACUGCGAGUGUAGAGGUGAAAUUCGUAGAUAUUCGCAAGAACACCGGUGGCAAAGGCGGCCAACUGGACCGGCACUGA
rnacentral:rRNA from 1 species